rnacentral:rRNA from 1 species
GACGUAGGGCGCGAGCGUUGUCCGGAUUUAUUGGGCGUAAAGAGCUCGUAGGCGGCUUGUCGCGUCGUUCGUGAAAACCUGUGGCUCAACUACAGGCUUGCGGUCGAUACGGGCAGGCUGGAGUUCGGUAGGGGAGACUGGAAUUCCUGGUGUAGCGGUGAAAUGCGCAGAUAUCAGGAGGAACACCGGUGGCGAAGGCGGGUCUCUGGGCCGGUACUGACGCUGAGACGCGAAAGCGUGGGGAGCGAACAGG